CGAAAUGCUUGGUUUUUACCAUAUAAGGUGUGCAUGUGUAGUGGCUGGAGCUCUCUUUGUUGACACAUCAUGUAUGAGCAAAGUUGAUGGAGCAAAGAUAAGGAUUUGAAGGCCUUACUGGAAUUUUUGACUUGCCAGGGUGAUAUAAAAACUGGUAUAUACUGCUAAAGUAGCCUUGAACUUACUAAAUCGAAGAUGGCUGGAGUAGGAGCAAGAAGGAAGAAAGUCGUGUCAGUGACAUAUAUACACCACAAUUUUCAGCUGGUGUACCUUAUGGAGCCUUUUUGUCGGAGCUGUGGGUAUCCUUGUUCCUGUGAUCAGCUCAUUAUCAAAUAAUAUAGUUCUGUAGAUGGAAGGUUUCCUUUUAUACUGUAAAUACAAAUGUGGAAUUGUGUGAAGAGUGCGCCUAUUAAUCCCAUACAUAUGCUGAUAACACCAUGUUAGUUCUAAUCUCGACUGAUUGAAGAUUGUCAAAGAAGGAAAGCUUGGAGUAUGCUCUGCCAUCUUUGUGGAGGCUUAUUAUAGUCGUCUAAGCAGGUGGUAUUGCCAAGGCAUUGAACAGAUGGAUUCAAAGUGAUAGUCACUUGUUUUGUGUCUGGAUUUUGGGGGUAUGCUAGUGUAAAGUGUGUUGCUGAAAUGAAAGAGCAUCCUGAUCUGACUGUCAAAAAAAAAGAUAGUUAUAUAUGGUUGUAGAUCAACUUUUGUUGUACUUUUCUGGGUUACUUUCCUCUUGUUUGUUUCGUCUCCUGGCGAAAAAAGCACCUUAUUCUAAAAAAAAAUAAUGCAACUUGCUACACCCAGUGAAGAUGCAAAAAAGAUGUGGUUUUGAUACCUUCGAAUGACCCAAGCUUAAAACAGUUGCUGCCAUAUAGUAACAAUUAUACCAACAAUGGCUACAUGUUGAUUAAAAGACUGGUAAUAUUCUCCAAAUGAUGUUUUGAGGUAAAUUCUCAAGGUUUGCUCUUUCCCUGAAUUGGAGAGAACAUAUUUUGUUGUGUGCUCAGAACUUGAAAAAAGAUGAAAAAGUGAAGGAUUUAGGAUCACCAGCCUCUAGUAGGCCAUAAGAUUUGGUAUGCUUUUGCCUUCACUUUUUUAUUUUCUUUGGUUUUGAUGGUUGUUGAAAAGCUUCAUCUUUGGC
rnacentral:lncRNA from 1 species